CCUUUAGACCUGUGCAAUGUUUGAAUCGAAGCAACGCUUCAGGGUGGGAACACAGCAGAGCACUUUAUUUAAGUAUGUGCCGCAGUCAUCUGGAGGAGG
rnacentral:SRP_RNA from 1 species